rnacentral:lncRNA from 1 species
GCCAGAUCACGCGAUUGCUUAGUUUCCAGCGGAAUUUCUCGGAGCAUUUUCUGAACUCACUCUUGUUCCUUCUGUAACUGCUUGUUUACUAUAGACUGGUGACAUAAUACGAAACAAACAGUAAACAGAUAUUUUUUGGCUCAACAAUUUAGUUUAGGAGCCAGUUUUAUUUAUUUAUCAUCAUCAUUUUUAUAAAUAAAUAGGAAAGACAGCUGAUAAUGGAGUGGUACAUUAUAAUCAAAUUUGUGAGCGAUUAAGGAGACACACGCUUAUUUAUGACUUUAAAUGGUUAUAAAUUCUGUGAUCCUAAAUAGCUAUAUAGCUACCAUUUAGGAUCACAGAGUUGCCUCAGUUGAGUAACUUUAAAUUUUGAAAUUAUGACUGUGAGACAAAUCAUAGAUUUAACACGGACUAUCAAAUGGAAAAGGCAGUUUAUAGUUAUAGAUGUGUAUAAAAACAGCUGUGUUCGGUUUUAUAUCAUCAGAGUGGAGAAAAACUGUUUGUUGUAUUUAAUUAAACAAAAUUUUUUAUAUGAUUUUAUCUUCAUUUAUAUACCAUAUUUUCGAUAUAUUUUUUUAUUCAUAAACACAUUUUUUGUUGAUUAUUCUUAGUAGAUUAAAUGCAUUGUACUCAUUUUACAAUUGAUAAAUUUAUUUAGAUUAUUUAAGAAUACAGCGUGUUUUUCUGAAUUAUAGAAUUAACUAAUCGAAUAAUAUGAAUAGUUAUCAUUGAUAAGUUUAAAAUAUUUAAUUUGUUUUCUUUUCCCUAGAGAGUGGCAUUAUUAGCUGUGCGAGAAAAUCUGGUUUAUAUCUAACUUUUUGCCAUAGAAAACCGGUAACCAAGAGCGCUAGAAUAAACAACGAAUACAGAAGAGAAAAAUAAAUAAAAUUCUAUCCAAUAUUUUCAGCAGGCGUGUUGCGCUGAAGAUUUUAAAAACUGGAAGAAUUUCCUUUCACCAGAUUAUUCGAGUAAAUUGAAGAUUUCUGUUGAAAAAUAUCAAUAGUCGCUACUGUAAGGCUGAUGCAGAAGUAAAAAUACAAAACAUAACUUAAGAUUUAACUGCACGCUGUAGAAACUCGAGUUUUAGAUGUAAAGAACCAACACGAUACCACGAUUAUGCAUUUAAAAAAUAAAUAAAGAGCUUUUCUUUAUAUUGGUUCUUCAAAUACCGUAUUGUUAACUUGAUCUCGAAGAUAAUGAAUCAUUUCCAAGAAGAUAGCUGUUUAAUUAUUUAAAUAUUAGCCAACCAAACGAACUAGUCGCGUGUUUAUGAUAUGAAAAAUAUAGAAAUGGCUUCAAUUUUUAAUUAUUUUUGUUUCCUUAGGUACAAAGAUGAGAAGCAUUUCGUUAAUCGUGACCCUGGUCAUGCUGGUUACAGUAAGC